UACGUAGGGUGCAAGCGUUAAUCGGAAUUACUGGGCGUAAAGCGUGCGCAGGCGGUUUUGUAAGUUUGUCGUGAAAGCCCCGGGCUCAACCUGGGAAUUGCGAUGAAGACUGCAAGGCUAGAAUCUGGCAGAGGGGGGUAGAAUUCCACGUGUAGCAGUGAAAUGCGUAGAGAUGUGGAGGAACACCGAUGGCGAAGGCAGCCCCCUGGGUCAAGAUUGACGCUCAUGCACGAAAGGCGUGGGGAGCAAACAGG
rnacentral:rRNA from 1 species